CUGGGCGGAGGCGGCGCCCGGCGCUGUCAGUGAGCGCAGGAGGGAGACGCUCCCGGCAGCAGCGGCUUCUCAGGCAGCAGCUCGGUCUCUGCUCGCAGCGCGCUCUCCCCCGGACAUGGCGGACGGAGACUCCAUUUCCUCCACUGGGUCUAUAAUCGUCGCCAAUCGCUUCGCCCGGAAAGGCGCCCUGCGGCAGAAGAACGUCCAUGAGGUGAAGAACCACAAAUUCACCGCGCGAUUCUUCAAGCAGCCGACAUUCUGCUCCCACUGCACCGACUUCAUCUGGGGCUUCGGGAAGCAGGGAUUCCAGUGUCAAGUUUGCUGCUUCGUGGUCCACAAGCGCUGUCAUGAGUUCGUCACGUUCUCCUGCCCCGGAGCGGAUAAAGGGCCGGACACAGAUGACCCCCGGAGUAAGCACAAGUUUAAGAUCCACACGUACGGGAGUCCGACCUUCUGUGACCACUGCGGCUCGCUACUCUAUGGGUUAAUACACCAGGGGAUGAAGUGUGAGACAUGUGAUAUGAAUGUACAUAAAGUCUGUGUUGUCAACGUUCCCAGCCUGUGUGGAAUGGACCACACAGAGAAAAGAGGGAGGAUAUUCCUGAAGGCCGAGGUGACCGGCGAGAAGCUGAAUGUCACAGUUCGAGACGCCAAGAACUUGAUCCCUAUGGAUCCCAACGGGUUGUCAGAUCCCUAUGUGAAGCUCAAGCUCAUCCCCGACCCCAAGAAUGAAAGUAAACAGAAAACCAAAACCAUCCGCUCCACCCUGAACCCGCACUGGAACGAGUCCUUCACCUUUAAGUUAAAGCCGUCAGACAAGGACCGGCGCCUGUCCAUAGAGAUCUGGGACUGGGACCGGACCACGAGGAACGACUUCAUGGGGUCCUUUUCGUUUGGGGUCUCUGAGCUGAUGAAGAUGCCGGCUUGCGGGUGGUACAAGCUGCUGAAUCAGGAGGAGGGCGAGUAUUACAACGUGCCCAUCCCGGAAGCCGAUGACGAAAACCAGGAGCUGCGGCAGAAAUUUGAGGGCAAAAGGUCCGGCCAGGAUCAGAAAGCCAAACUAGGACCAGCGGGUAACAAGGUGAUCAGUCCGGCGGAGGAGCGCAGACCGUACGUCCCGUCCAACAACAUCGACAGCGUGCGGCUCACCGACUUCAACUUCCUCAUGGUUCUCGGCAAAGGCAGCUUCGGAAAGGUGAUGUUGGCGGAGAGGAAGGGAUCGGACGAACUCUACGCCGUCAAGAUCCUGAAGAAGGACGUGGUGAUCCAGGAUGAUGACGUGGAGUGCACCAUGGUGGAGAAGCGGGUGCUGGCGCUCUCUGAGAAGCCUCCCUUCCUAACUCAGUUGCACUCCUGCUUCCAGACUGUGGACCGGCUCUACUUUGUCAUGGAGUACGUGAACGGAGGAGACCUGAUGUAUCACAUCCAGCAAGUGGGCAAAUUCAAGGAGCCGCAGGCCGUGUUCUACGCGGCUGAGAUCUCAGUUGGCCUGUUCUUCCUACACAAGAAAGGAAUUGUGUACAGAGACCUGAAGCUGGACAAUGUGAUGCUGGACUCGGAGGGGCACAUAAAGAUCGCAGAUUUUGGGAUGUGUAAAGAGCACAUGGUGGACGGGGUCACAACACGGACGUUCUGCGGGACCCCCGACUACAUUGCCCCAGAGAUUAUCGCCUAUCAGCCGUACGGAAAGUCUGUGGACUGGUGGGCGUACGGGGUUCUGCUCUACGAGAUGCUGGCAGGUCAGCCCCCGUUUGAUGGCGAGGAUGAGGAUGAGCUCUUCCAGUCCAUCAUGGAACAUAAUGUCUCUUAUCCGAAAUCCAUGUCGAAGGAGGCCGUGUCCAUAUGUAAAGGGCUGAUGACGAAACACCCGGUGAAGCGUCUGGGGUGCGGUCCGGAGGGCGAGAGAGACAUUAGAGAGCACGCCUUCUUCAGGAGGAUCGACUGGGAGAAGCUGGAAAACAGGGAGAUACAGCCACCAUUCAAGCCAAAGGUGUGCGGCAAAGGAGCCGAAAACUUCGACAAGUUCUUCACGAGAGGGCAGCCCGUCCUGACGCCCCCCGACCAGCUGGUCAUCGCCAACAUCGACCAGGCCGACUUCGAGGGCUUCUCCUACAUCAACCCGCUCUUUGUACACCCCAGCCUCCAGAGCGUGGCGUGAACCCACCGACUGCCAGACGCUCCGGAGGAAACGCGCUAACCCUGCAAUUAAGGAGGUUGCCAUGUACAAAAAAAUUGAAACAAAAAAAUAAUAAUUUCUGAAAAUUUUAGGGGUAAAAAACUAUAAAAACGCUGAAUGUCAUAUUCUAGAGAACGCUGCGCGUCCGACCGGCGCGGGGAGCGCAGAGAAGCACUGGACUUGUCCGUCAUCAGGAAGGAACAGGCUAAGCGUUGCGCUCACGACCUCUUCCUGUUAUCCCCGCGGCGCGGCAGAGACGGUACAAACGGUGCGAUCAGUACGAUACUUUACUACAGGCCAAAUGAUCUGCCGCCAUUCGCCCCCCAAAAUCAUGUCAAAUAAUAAUCCAGGGUCUCGGGGCGCGCUGCUGUCAAACAUGGCGGCCGGCGCCACUGAUUUACUACAUGAAGGUACUGUGCGGCAAAGUCGUAUUAAUUAAAAUUGAAAUAGAGAUGUUUUUGCAAUUUUUGGGGUAAUUUUUCGUAAUUUUUUUUUGCGGGGGGGUAGAUUUUUUUCCGCAUGUUUUUAGCAGGUUUUCUCUCUCCUGAUCUUCGUGACCCCAAAAUUUUUAUAUAUUUGAAAAAAAAAAAUCUCUGUUUCCUUCCGAUCUUCCUGUGAUUUAGUUUACGUUUUUUUUUUGCUUAUUUUUAUGUUUGUGUAGUUUUUUAUGUGUUUUUCAGAAUAAUUUUUUCAGAACUUUUUGACUCCUUGUUUCUACGGCAACGUCUUCUUGACAUCGCGCUCGGAACGUUCUAGAAGGUUCUUCUAUAUUUCUAUACCGGUCAUUUCACUUUCUCCCGCCAUUUUUUUUUCUUUUUUCUGCUGUUUUGCGCGGUUGCAUGUUGGCGAGGGCGGAGCAUGCGGAGCGGCGGUGCAUGCAGGAGCGGCGGCUUUGCAUGAAGGAAUCUGCCAUAAUCAUAAGAUUUUCUGCUCAAAUUUAUUUUUUUGAACUUGCAGUAAAAAAAAAAGAAGAGAUUUUGAGAAAAUUCUGAGAUUUGUGCCAAAAUGAGAUUUCACCCAGUUUUUUGGCUCCACCCAACGGAUUUGUUGCAUCACAUAAUGCCAAAUAAUAAAACAUGAUGAUGUCAUCACUCUGUCCUAGAUCAGAGACGGUUCGGCUGCUGUGGAACUACAACUCUCAGCAUGGCCUUCUCUGGGGAAACUUACAGUUCAGCCAUGAGCAAAUUCCACAGAUUUCUAAUGGUUUAAGGCAGGGAUGACUUUACUGCGCUGCUGGGGAACUACAUACCCCAGCAAUGCCGUCAGCUGAGUGACCCCGCACCCCUCCUCCCCCUGUAUAGGUGGUGUUCUAGGCCUGCACCACACUUUUCUCCCCCAUUGGGUUCGUAGCUGUAAGAGUUCCCCUUUAGGAGCGCACACUGACGAGCUCUGCUAUACUGUACACUGCCCCUCCAGGCCGCACAGGAAAUCAUGUGGAGGAGGGGCAGGGAUUAUGAUGAUGUAGUAUAUGGGGGAGGGGGGGCUGCAGAGUAACUGCCCCCAUCAUCCACUCUCAUACGCCCUGCAUCAAUACUAGCCUUAGAGCUUGUAGUAAUCAUGUCACCGAAUGUAAACGCCGGCAUCCAUGUCAUUUCACUGUGUGGAGACUGUCAGUACGCUGCUCUUGACGGAUCUUAUCCAGCUUAUUGAUUGUGUGCCUGCUUAUCACAUGGGCAUCCGAAUCGCACAAUUACUGCAGUGGGUAUCGACGGGUUAAUUAGCAGGGCCACAGGGGAGUAUUAGAAUGUAAAUGGUGCCACGGGGGAGUAUUCUAUUUAAAUGGUGCCACGAGCGAGUAUUAGUGUGUAAAUGGUUCCACGGGGGAGUAUUCUUAUGUAAAUGGUGCCACGAGCGAGUAUUAGAGUGUAAAUAGUGCGACAAGGGAGUAUAAUAAUACGAUUGGAUCCGCAGUGGGAGUAUUAGUGUGUAACUGGGCUGCAGGUAGUAUUAUAGUGUUACACCAUUAUACACUAUAGAGGCCUAAGAGAAGACGAGAUCUGUCAACAGCAGCUGGUUUGUGGUUUCCAGCACCAGUAACUGAGAUGCUGGAGUUUACAUUGGAGGGGUUUUUUACUAAUUUUUUUACUUUACACCCCCAAUUAUGACAGUGACCCCCCUCCAGCAUAGAGAUUGGGUGCAGGGGGUCUGUCAGCACCCGCAGGGGCCACACACCCCCCACCCCACCCCCAUCCUGCUCAUCUUAAUCUGAAUGAUGCUUUACUGUGAAUUUCUGGCUCAGAUUGUGGAGUCGAGGUGUCGCCCCCUGGUGUCCGCUGUGUAGAUGAAUCCGCUGCUUUCUAGGCACAAGGAACAUUUGUGGGGACCUGGGUGUAACCAGUGACAUCACACAAGCCUCAGUGAUGUCAGCUCUAUUAGCAUACAUGGGGGCGGUGCCUGUAUCAUGUGGACAGUGAGGCGGACUGUUGCCCGGUGGGGGGGUUAUAGUUAUUAAUCACGCCCCCAUUACGUUAGCUUCCAAUACAUGUAACCCAAGCAAUGUCUUUUCAAUAAACUCCUCUUGUUGG